GAUGAACGCUGGCGGCGUGCCUAAUACAUGCAAGUCGAGCGAACAGACGAGGAGCUUGCUCCUCUGACGUUAGCGGCGGACGGGUGAGUAACACGUGGAUAACCUACCUAUAAGACUGGGAUAACUUCGGGAAACCGGAGCUAAUACCGGAUAAUAUAUUGAACCGCAUGGUUCAAUAGUGAACGACGGUUUUGCUGUCACUUAUAGAUGGAUCCGCGCCGCAUUAGCUAGUUGGUAAGGUAACGGCUUACCAAGGCAACGAUGCGUAGCCGACCUGAGAGGGUGAUCGGCCACACUGGAACUGAGACACGGUCCAGACUCCUACGGGAGGCAGCAGUAGGGAAUCUUCCGCAAUGGGCGAAAGCCUGACGGAGCAACGCCGCGUGAGUGAUGAAGGUCUUCGGAUCGUAAAACUCUGUUAUUAGGGAAGAACAAAUGUGUAAGUAACUAUGCACGUCUUGACGGUACCUAAUCAGAAAGCCACGGCUAACUACGUG
rnacentral:rRNA from 1 species